GUCUACGGCCAUACCACGUUGAAAACACCAGUUCUCGUCCGAUCACUGAAGUUAAGCAACGUCGGGCUCGGUUAGUACUUGGAUGGGUGACCGCCUGGGAACACCGAGUGCUGUAGACACCC
rnacentral:rRNA from 1 species